rnacentral:rRNA from 1 species
ACUGCUCAGUAACACGUGGAUAACAUGCCCUAAGGUGGGGGAUAAUCUCGGGAAACUGAGGGUAAUACCCCAUAGAUCUAGAAUGCUGGAAUGCCUCUAGGUCGAAAACUCCGGUGCCUUAGGAUUGGUCUGCGGUCUAUCAGGCAGUAGUGGGUGUAACGGACCCACUAGCCCGUGACGGAUAUGGGCCUUGAGAGAGGGUGCCCAGAGAUGGACUCUGAGACAUGAGUCCAGGCCCUACGGGGCGCAGCAGUCGCGAAAACUUCGCAAUGGGGGAAACCCCGACGAGGGAAUUCCAAGUGCUAGCACUUUGUGUUAGCUGUUCUCCUGUCUAAAAAACAGGAGAAGUAAGGGGCGGGUAAGACGGGUGCCAGCCGCCGCGGUAAUACCCGCGCCCCGAGUGGUGGUCGAUAUUAUUGAGCCUAAAACGUCCGUAGCCGGUCUUCUAAAUCCUUGGGUAAAUCGGGCAGCUUAACUGUCCGAAUUCCGGGGAGACUGGGAGACUUGGGACCGGGAGAGGUCAGAGGUACUUCUGGGGUAGGGGUAAAAUCCUGUAAUCCUGGAAGGACCACCGGUGGCGAAGGCGUCUGACUAGAACGGAUCCGACGGUGAGGGACGAGGCCCUGGGGCGCAAACGGGAUUAGAUACCCCGGUAGUCCAGGGUGUAAACGCUGCGGGCUUGGUGUUGGGGGUCCUUAGUGGGCGCCCAGUGCCGGAGAGAAGUUGUUAAGCCUGCUGCUUGGGGAGUAUGUCCGCAAGGAUGAAACUUAAAGGAAUUGGCGGGGGAGCAC